rnacentral:tRNA from 1 species
UCUCGAUUGGUCUAGUGGUCAGGAUACCUGCUUGUCAUCAGACAAGUACGCAGGUGGCCGGGGUUCGAUUCCCCGAUCGAGAG